rnacentral:rRNA from 1 species
AGCGCAACCCUUGUCUUAGUUGCCAGCAUUAAGUUGGGCACUCUAAGAGACUGCCGGUGUCAAACCGGAGGAAGGUGGGAUGACGUCAAGUCCUCAUGGCCUUUAUGAUCAGGGCUACACACGUACUACAAUGGCCGGUACAACGGGCAGCGACAUAGCGAUAUGAAGCCAAUCCCUGAAAGCCGGUCUCAGUCCGGAUUGGAGUCUGCAACUCGACUCCAUGAAGUUGGAAUCGCUAGUAAUCGCGGAUCAGCAUGCCGCGGUGAAUACGUUCCCGGGCCUU